UACGGAGGGUGCAAGCGUUAUUCGGAAUCACUGGGCGUAAAGAGCGCGUCGGCAGUCUCUUAAGUCAGAUGUGAAAGCCCGGGGCUUAACCCCGGAAGUGCAUUUGAAACUAAGGGACUUGAGUAUGGGAGAGGGAAGUGGAAUUCCUGGUGUAGCGGUGAAAUGCGUAGAUAUCAGGAGGAACACCGGUGGCGAUGGCGACUUCCUGGACCAAUACUGACGCUGGGGCGCGAAGGCGUGGGGAGCAAACAGG
rnacentral:rRNA from 1 species